rnacentral:rRNA from 1 species
AAUGAACGCUGGCGGCGUGCCUAAGACAUGCAAGUCGUACGAGAAAGUAGCAAUAUGAGUACAGUGGCGCACGGGUGAGUAAUAAUUGGAUAAUGCGCCUCCUCGCUGGGGAUAACCAGGCGAAAGCUUGGCUAAUACCGAAUAGUUCGGUCGGGACCUUGGUUCUGACCGAUAAAGCCGUAAGGCGCGGGGAGAGUAGUCCAAUUCCCAUUAGCUAGUUGGUAAGGUAAAAGCUUACCAAGGCAACGAUGGGUAGCUGGUCUGAGAGGAUGAUCAGCCACACUGGAACUGGAACACGGUCCAGACUCCUACGGGAGGCAGCAGUUAGGAAUCUUGCGCGAUGGGGGAAACCCUGACGCAGCAAUGCCGCGUGCAGGAAGAAGGCCUUCGGGUUGUAAACUGCUUUUGUACGGAACGAAACGGUCUGGGUUAAUACCCUGGGCUAAUGACGGUACCGUAAGAAUAAGCACCGGCUAACUACGUGCCAGCCGCCGCCGUAA